AUAAACGCUGGCGGCGUGCAUGAGACAUGCAAGUCGAACGAAGGAUCGGGCUUGCUCGAUCCUUAGUGGCGGACGGCUGAGUAACGCGUAGGUGACCUACCCCGAAGUGGGGAAUAACUGCCCGAAAGGGUGGCUAAUACCGCAUGUGGUCGCACGUUCAUUCGUGCGAGUAACGCCGCAAGGCGCUUCGGGAGGGGCCUGCGUCCGAUUAGCUCGUUGGUGGGGUAAUGGCUUACCAAGGCGACGAUCGGUAGGUGGUCUGAGAGGACGAUCACCCAGACUGGAACUGAGACACGGCCCAGACUCCUACGGGAGGCAGCAGUCGGGAAUUUUGCUCAAUGGGGGAAACCCUGAAGCAGCAACGCCGCGUGAGGGAUGAAGGCCUUCGGGUUGUAAACCUCUUUUGUCAGGGACGAUGAUGACGGUACCUGGCGAAUAAGCCACGGCUAACUACGUG
rnacentral:rRNA from 1 species